GGCCCUCGGGGGCGGCUGCAGCGGGCGGCGGGGCGGGCGGGGUGAGGGCCUCGUCCCGCCCCACGCACACGCGGCGCUCCCCGCGGCCGGGAGCUGCUGGAUGUGCCGUGUGGGAGCCCCACGGCUUCUGCAGAGCCCUCGGCUCCGGUGCGAGCUGCCUUCCUGGCAGUCCCUCCCUCCUCAGGUGUCCGCGUGGUGCUGACCGCAGGCUGGGAGAGGUUUUAAGGCUGUCAACAGACACAAAUCUCCUUUUCACGCUAGCAAAGCGUAUACUGACGGAUAACAGCCGUACGCUUCCCCGUGCUCACAUCGGGGCGUGUAGGCUUCAGUAUGAGAGGAGUUCCCGCCUGCUCUGAAAGAAUAGCUCAACAUCUGUCAUCCCAUUCUCUGCCAUGGCCCAAAAUCAGGAAGACUACAGCUGUCCUGCUCCUUUCAGAUACUUCUGGGAUAGAGAGGUUGGGAAUUGUACUACAACUGCUGAGUGCUGGAUGAAGAUGAAAACAAUAGAGCCACAAUUGAGAGCUGCUGCAAUAAACAUCAGAGUCCAAAACAGUGGCAAUUACUUUAGGUAUACACCUCUCCAACCUGCAGUUUAAACUUCACGGUCCCAAGAUUUGGGGAAAGCAUAAUAAAGUGUAAAAUGUU